rnacentral:rRNA from 1 species
UACGGGGGGAGCAAGCGUUGUUCGGAUUUACUGGGCGUAAAGGGCGCGUAGGCGGUCGUGACAAGUCACUUGUGAAAUCUCCGGGCUUAACUCGGAACGGUCAAGUGAUACUGUCGGACUAGAGUACAGAAGGGGCAACUGGAAUUCUCGGGUGUAGCGGUGAAAUGCGUAGAUAUCAGGAGGAACACCGAUGGCGAAGGCAGGUCUCUGGGCUGACACUGACGCUCAUGCACGAAAGCGUGGGGAGCAAACAGG